GCACUGCUGAAGAGUCCCACAAUAGGACGAAACAACUGUUCAGUGU
rfam:Schistosoma rodhaini strain Burundi genome assembly, scaffold: SROB_scaffold0000045